AUAAUUUCUGUGCGCGGUGUGGGUGGACAUUUUUGACAAGUCUAUAUUUAUUUUACAUCUGUUGCUAUGUUAGGAGCAGUCAGGAGACUCGUACCAGACAGCACUAGAAGGGGAAAAUUAUCAGCAGUCUUCCACGCUGGGUUACGGAGACUAUAAUGCGUAUGUCCAGGCCCCGCCCACCUACUAUACGAAUGCACAAGGCUCGUACCAAGCUGGAUCCACGCUGACUGUAGAGAAGGCAAUAAGCACGGAGAAAAGGCCGUACAUUCUCUCCAGCCCGGAGGUGGGCAGCAUCGGAUACACGCAGCAAUACGCUCCGACAUCCGCGGACAGCUACGGUGACUCUUAUGUUAAGAGGAAAAAGGUUUAUUAGUUUUUCUUUGUAGGUCUCCCACCAUCUCACACACCCAAAGAUGCACAACCUCCCGUGUCUCUGCAAGCCAUGUAGUCUGGCGCCGAGUCAGUUGUAUUUUGCCUAAAACAAAAA